CACUUCCCGUGGGGAGACGCCGGUACCCCACCAUAUGCCGGGCCUCUGAGGCCCCAUCCCGGCCCCGAGAGGCAGCAGGGAGGAGCCAAGCAAAGCAGCACAGCGAGGAGGGCUGCGGAGGGUGCCGGAGACCGCAGAGCUCAGCUUGGGGAGUGGGGGCUCCUCGCGGGGAGCGGUUAACUUUGAUACAUCCUUUCGGGAAUUAUCACUCCUUGUGAAGUCCUGUUUUGAAAGAUGGACCCUGUGGGGUCGUCUCACGGAUUCCUUACAGAAUGGUGCAGAUUUUCCAGCCCUUUGCUGUCAGGGUGGCACGUUCUGGGCAGUUCAUCCACAGGUUCUGAAAUUGUGCCAGAAUUCUUAAAACCCCUUUGUGCAGUCGGACCUCCUCAGUCUGUCCUCUAACAAGCGGGGGAGACGGACUUCGGGGUCUGAGUCGUAGACCUUUACCAGGCACCCAGCAAAUCCCAGCUGGCCUUGCUGAGAACUUCCUCUCCUGGAGGAGAGAAAACUCGAUUCCAGCCAACAAGGAGGAAGUGACUGAGGAGGAAAGUUGAUCUUAGCACCAUUUAAAACACAAAAGCGCUACCAUUCCAAGGAUGGAAACCCCACAGGGAUUUUUCUUGAGAGUCCUAUAACAAUGUCCUAAGGAAAAUGAGACGGACAAAAGGAGGUCCAGAAAGGAGCUGCGGCUACAGCCUCAGUUUCCCCAUAAGAGGGAACCGGGCGAAUGUGACCUUCCUGAAAGGUUCCUGUGGAGACUACACGAGACAAGGAGGAAAAAGUACCCGGCACUUA